rnacentral:pre_miRNA from 7 species
ACCUGUAGUGAAAGACCCCCGAAGGGAGACCCUCACUCAAGCCUCGGGACAGCCGCGGACCCAAGAAGACACCGAGACCG